UGUUUUAUUUAUUUUAUUUAUUUUCUUUCCAUUUCUUUUUUAUUUUGAUUUUCGUAUUUAAUGAUGUUUUUAUUUUAUUUUAUUCUUGACUUUUAUAGUUAUUAUUAUUGUUGUUUUUGUUAUUUUUAUGGUUUUUUAUUAUUUCAUUUAUUUACAUAUUUUAUUCUAAAUUGUGUCUUUAAAUUUCGUUUAUGUUUUAAUUCAUUUCUUUACUUUCAAUAUUUUUUUAUAAACUAUUUUCCUUACAUUAUUUAUGUAUUUAUUUGUUUAUUUAUUUUUUUAAGUUGGUGUUGUCCUUUUAUGUGCAUACAUUGGCAUUAUUA
rnacentral:lncRNA from 1 species